GCGGUCGUGGCGGAAUGGCAGACGCGCUAGGUUGAGGGCCUAGUGGGGGCAACCCCGUGGAAGUUCGACUCUUCUCGACCGCA
rnacentral:tRNA from 1 species